rnacentral:tRNA from 1 species
GCCCGGGUGGCUCAGUCGGUUGAGCGUCCGACUUCAGCUCAGGUCAUGAUCUCGUGGUUCAUGAGUUCGAGCCCCACUUCGGGCU